UACGUGGGGUGCAAACGUUGCUCGGAAUCAUUGGGCGUAAAGCGCACGUAGGCGGCUUUUUAAGUUGGAUGUGAAAGCCCUCGGCUUAACCGAGGAAGUGCAUCCAAAACUGACUAGCUUGAGUCUCAGAGAGGGUUGCGGAAUUCCCGGUGUAGAGGUGAAAUUCGUAGAUAUCGGGAGGAACACCAGUGGCGAAGGCGGCAACCUGGCUGAAGACUGACGCUGAGGUGCGAAAGCGUGGGGAGCAAACAGG
rnacentral:rRNA from 1 species